rnacentral:rRNA from 1 species
UCAAGUUAUUAAGGGUGCAGGGCGGAUGCCUUGGCACUAGGAGCCGAUGAAGGACGUGAUAAGCUGCGAUAAGCUUCGGGGAGUUGCACGUAAACUUUGAUCCGAAGAUUUCCGAAUGAGGAAACUCACUUAGAGUAAUGUCUAAGUAUCAUUAAGUGAAUACAUAGCUUAAUGAGGGGAACUCAGGGAACUGAAACAUCUAAGUACCUGAAGGAAGAGAAAGAAAUUCGAUUCCGUAAGUAGCGGCGAGCGAACGCGGAUUAGCCCAAACCAAUAAAGUUUUCUUUAUUGGGGUUGCGGACAUAUCAUAACGAAGAGGUAUCGUAAUUGAAGAGGUUUGGAAAGACCCACCACAGAAGGUAAUAGUCCUGUAUGUUAAACGAGAAGACUUUAGAUAUGAUCCAGAGUACCACGGGACACGUGAAACCCUGUGGGAAGCAGGAGGGACCACCCUCCAAGGCUAAAUACUACCUAGUGACCGAUAGCGUAUAGUACCGUGAGGGAAAGGUGAAAAGAACCCCGGGAGGGGAGUGAAAUAGAACCUGAAACCCUGCACUUACAAGCUGUGGAAGCACAUUUCUUGUGUGACCGCGUACUUUUUGUAGAACGGGCCAACGAGUUACGUUAAGUAGCAAGGUUAAGCACUUAAGGUGCGGAGCCGUAGCGAAAGCGAGUUUUAACUGAGCGUUCAGUUACUUGACGUAGACCCGAAACCGGGCGACCUACCCAUGAGCAGGAUGAAGCGAAAGUAAAAUUUCGUGGAGGUCCGAACCCACGAGCGUUGAAAAGCUCGGGGAUGACUUGUGGGUAGCGGUGAAAUUCCAAUCGAGCCCGGAGAUAGCUGGUUCUCCCCGAAAUAGCUUUAGGGCUAGCCUCAAGGUGAGAGAUACGGAGGUAGAGCACUGAAUGUCCUAGGGGGUAUUGCACCUACCGAAGACUAUCAAACUCCGAAUGCCGUCAUCUUAUACUUGGGAGUCAGACUGUGGGUGAUAAGAUUCAUAGUCGAAAGGGCAACAGCCCAGAUCGUCAGCUAAGGUCCCUAAAUGUAAGUUAAGUGGUAAAGGAUGUGGGAUUGCACAGACAACCAGGAUGUUGGCUUAGAAGCAGCCACUCAUUCAAAGAGUGCGUAAUAGCUCACUGGUCGAGUGAUCCUGCGCCGAAGAUUUCCGGGGCUAAAACUUACUACCGAAGCUACGGCAUCAGUAAUGAUGGGUAGGGGAGCUUCCCAUACGGGUUGAAGCAUGACCGUAAGGACAUGUGGACAGUAUGGGAGUGAGAAUGUUGGCAUGAGUAGCGAGAUGUGGGUGAGAAUCCCACAGGCCGUAAACCCAAGGUUUCCAGGGGAAGGUUCGUCCGCCCUGGGUUAGUCGGGACCUAAGCUGAGGCCGAAAGGCGUAGGUGAUGGACAACAGGUUGAUAUUCCUGUACUACCGAUAACCGUUUGAGAGAAGGGAUGACACAGUAGGAUAAGCUAAGCACACUGUUGGUUAUGUGUGCCCAAGCAUUGAGGCAGUCAAAGUAGGCAAAUCCGCUUUGAUAAUGCUGGGAUGUGAUGGGGAGCGAAAUUUAGUAGCGAAGUAGCUGAUUUCACACUGUCAAGAAAAGUCUCUAUCGAGGUUAAAGGUACCCGUACCGCAAACCGACACAGGUGGGUGAGGAGAGUAUCCUAAGGCCAGCGAGAGAACUGUUGUUAAGGAACUCGGCAAAAUGACCCCGUAACUUAGGGAUAAGGGGUGCCACCAUCAGGUGGCCGCAGAGAAUAGGCCCAAGCGACUGUUUACCAAAAACAUAGGUUUCUGCUAAGUCGCAAGACGAUGUAUAGGAGCUGACGCCUGCCCGGUGCUGGAAGGUUAAGGGGAUCUGUUAGAGCAAUCGAAGCAGUGAACUUAAGCCCCAGUAAACGGCGGCCGUAACUAUAACGGUCCUAAGGUAGCGAAAUUCCUUGUCGGGUAAGUUCCGACCCGCACGAAAGGCGUAACGAUUUGGGCACUGUCUCAACAACAGACUCGGUGAAAUUGUAAUUCCGGUGAAGAUGCCGGAUACCUGCGACAGGACGGAAAGACCCCAUGGAGCUUUACUGUAGCUUGACAUUGGGUCUUGGUACUACAUGUACAGGAUAGGUGGGAGGCUUUGAAACCAGGACGCCAGUUUUGGCGGAGCCAUCCUUGGGAUACCACCCUUGUAGUACUGGGACUCUAACCAUAGGCCAUGAAUCUGGUCUUGGGACACUGUCAGGUGGGCAGUUUGACUGGGGCGGUCGCCUCCCAAAAGGUAACGGAGGCGCUCAAAGGUUCUCUCAGUACGGUCGGAAAUCGUACGUAGAGUGUAAAGGCAAAAGAGAGCUUGAUUGCAAGACAUACAGGUCGAGCAAGGAUGAAAAUCGGACUUAGUGAUCCGGUGGUUCUGCGUGGAAGGGCCAUCGCUCAACGGAUAAAAGCUACCCUGGGGAUAACAGGCUUAUCUCCCCCAAGAGUCCACAUCGACGGGGAGGUUUGGCACCUCGAUGUCGGCUCAUCACAUCCUGGGGCUGUAGUAGGUCCCAAGGGUUGGGCUGUUCGCCCAUUAAAGUGGUACGCGAGCUGGGUUCAGAACGUCGUGAGACAGUUCGGUCCCUAUCCGUCGCAGGCGUAGGAAAUUUGAGAAGACCUGUCCUUAGUACGAGAGGACCGGGAUGGACGUACCUCUGGUGUACCAGUUGUCCUGCCAAGGGCAUGGCUGGGUAGCUAUGUACGGAAUGGAUAAGCGCUGAAAGCAUCUAAGCGCGAAGCCAACUUCAAGAUAAGAUUUCCCACCGCAAGGGUAAGACCCAGAAAGACUAUCUGGUUGAUAGGUCGAAGGUGUAAGUGCAGCAAUGUAUUUAGCUUAUCGAUACUAAUAGGUCGAGGACUUGACCAA